rnacentral:rRNA from 1 species
GACGAACGCUGGCGGCGUGCUUAACACAUGCAAGUCGAACGGAAAGGCCCUGCUUUUGUGGGGUGCUCGAGUGGCGAACGGGUGAGUAACACGUGAGUAACCUGCCCUUGACUUUGGGAUAACUUCAGGAAACUGGGGCUAAUACCGGAUAGGAGCUCCUGCUGCAUGGUGGGGGUUGGAAAGUUUCGGCGGUUGGGGAUGGACUCGCGGCUUAUCAGCUUGUUGGUGGGGUAGUGGCUUACCAAGGCUUUGACGGGUAGCCGGCCUGAGAGGGUGACCGGCCACAUUGGGACUGAGAUACGGCGCAGACUGCUACGGGAGGCAGCAGUGGGGAAUAUUGCACAAUGGGCGGAAGCCUGAUGCAGCAACGCCGCGUGCGGGAUGACGGCCUUCGGGUUGUAAACCGCUGUCGCCUGUGACGAAGCGUGAGUGACGGUAAUGGGUAAAGAAGCACCGGCUAACUACGUG